rnacentral:rRNA from 1 species
UACGUAGGGCGCAAGCGUUGUCCGGAAUUAUUGGGCGUAAAGAGCUCGUAGGCGGUCUGUCGCGUCUGGUGUGAAAUCCCAUGGCUCAACCAUGGGCUUGCAUCGGGUACGGGCAGACUAGAGUGCGGUAGGGGAGAAUGGAAUUCCUGGUGUAGCGGUGGAAUGCGCAGAUAUCAGGAGGAACACCGAUGGCGAAGGCAGUUCUCUGGGCCGUAACUGACGCUGAGGAGCGAAAGCGUGGGGAGCGAACAGG